rnacentral:rRNA from 1 species
AGAGUUUGAUCAUGGCUCAGGAUGAACGCUGGCGGCGUGCCUAAUACAUGCAAGUCGAACGCUUUGUCUUUAAUUGAUCUGACGAGCUUGCUCUGAAGUGAUUUUAUCUGACAAAGAGUGGCGAACGGGUGAGUAACACGUGGGUAACCUACCUCUUAGCAGGGGAUAACAUUUGGAAACAAGUGCUAAUACCGUAUAAUACCAACAACCGCAUGGUUGUUGGUUGAAAGAUGGCUCUGCUAUCACUAAGAGAUGGACCCGCGGUGCAUUAGCUAGUUGGUAAGGUAACGGCUUACCAAGGCGAUGAUGCAUAGCCGAGUUGAGAGACUGAUCGGCCACAAUGGGACUGAGACACGGCCCAUACUCCUACGGGAGGCAGCAGUAGGGAAUCUUCCACAAUGGGCGCAAGCCUGAUGGAGCAACGCCGCGUGUGUGAUGAAGGGUUUCGGCUCGUAAAACACUGUUAUAAGAGAAGAACGGCACUGAGAGUAACUGUUCAGUGUGUGACGGUAUCUUACCAGAAAGGAACGGCUAAAUACGUGCCAGCAGCCGCGGUAAUACGUAUGUUCCAAGCGUUAUCCGGAUUUAUUGGGCGUAAAGCGAGCGCAGACGGUUAUUUAAGUCUGAAGUGAAAGCCCUCAGCUCAACUGAGGAAUGGCUUUGGAAACUGGAUGACUUGAGUGCAGUAGAGGAAAGUGGAACUCCAUGUGUAGCGGUGAAAUGCGUAGAUAUAUGGAAGAACACCAGUGGCGAAGGCGGCUUUCUGGACUGUAACUGACGUUGAGGCUCGAAAGUGUGGGUAGCAAACAGGAUUAGAUACCCUGGUAGUCCACACCGUAAACGAUGAGUGCUAGAUGUUCGAGGGUUUCCGCCCUUGAGUGUCGCAGCUCACGCAUUAAGCACUCCUGCCUGGGGAGUA